rnacentral:sRNA from 1 species
AUACUGAUAAACAAAGGAAUUUGUCUCCACGCUGACCACGGAUGUACUGGCAGAUGUGUCGAGGCAAGGCAGGAAGGUCGGUGCGAGUUUCGCCCGGCCUUUUUCUUU